rnacentral:lncRNA from 1 species
CUUUAGACCACACGUACCUCGGUCAGCUGAGGGGGCAAAGGUUUGAGUUUAGACUUAGCAAACCCACAGCGUGAGUGCGAAUAGUUAUUGAAUUCCUAACCAUACCACGUGGAGCAUUGGCUACAUGACUGGAAUUGGUUCAAUUCUGGGACUAUCGAUCCCUACAGAAUAAGAGCAAAUCUUAGAUAAUAAUAACUAGUCUGUAGCUAGAAAUUAUGUCAACCUGGGAUGCGAAGCCCGACAACCGUCAAAACAUCUAUUCUAUGAGAACAUUUCUGAAUGGUACUCUGAAGUAUUCAUUCUAACCAUGAAAGACUUGGAUCUUCAGGGAAGCAGAGAGAGAGAGAGAGACACACUCGGAUGAACUCUCCAACAGAAGGACUGACGAUUCCAACAGAGAUCAUGAUGACACACGGAGUCUGUUUCCUGAGGUUCCUGAACGCACCCUGUCUGGUUGCCGGGCGACGAAGCUAGGCGGGAGAUCUCUCGAUUACCCGCACCUGCAUCUCAUCAGCUAUCUGCACACCUGGUCGUGAUCAUCACCUCUCCACUACAUAAACUCUGACCUGACAUCCAUUCCCUGCCGGAUCGUUAGCAAUGAACAUCAUUCUCCCGGAACAUUCACCUCACACCUGCUUGGUCGUCGGUGGCUUCUGUGACAUCAUUGGAUCUGCCUAUUAUUCUGCUUUUCUGUAAAUAAAUACUCACCUUCGUUCAACUCACCUUGUCCUGGUCUGCUUCUGGGUUCUGCUUUAGUGAAUCGUGACAAUGUUCGGCUUGGAGUCUUGCAUCAGCAGUUAUCUAGCUGCUGUGGUGAUGACAGUAAUACUGGAGUAGGUCCUUG